UGGAUGUCCAUCCCCUCAUAUAUUUCAUUUGUAAAAGAAGUUAAUAUUAGUUUGAUUUCUAAAAUAAUUUGAUUUAUGUAAAAGGAUCUAUUUACAAGUAAAAAAAUUAUUAUUUUUUGUAUUUUGAAUUUGAAAUGCGUGAACUAAAAUAUUUUUGGAUUUAUAUGAAAAAGAAAUAUUUUGGUAAUUUUAUUAUUGACUAACCUAAAGAAAUUAAAUAUUUAAACAUAUUAACUAUAACC
rnacentral:lncRNA from 1 species